CGCGGGGUAGAGCAGUUGGUAGCUCGUCGGGCCCAUAACCCGGAGGUCGGAGGUUCGAGUCCUCCCCCCGCUA
rnacentral:tRNA from 1 species